CCUACGGGAGGCAGCAGUGAGGAAUAUUGGUCAAUGGACGCAAGUCUGAACCAGCCAUGCCGCGUGCAGGAUGACGGCCCUAUGGGUUGUAAACUUCUUUUAUACGGGGGUAAAACCCGACACGUGUGUCGGUUUGUAUGUAUCGUACGAAUAAGGAUCGGCUAACUCCGUGCCAGCAGCCGCGGUAAUACGGAGGAUCCGAGCGUUAUCCGGAUUUAUUGGGUUUAAAGGGUGCGUAGGCGGAUUGUUAAGUCAGUUGUGAAAGUUUGCGGCUCAACCCCAAAAUUGCAUUUGAAACUGGUAGUCUUGAGUACAGUAGAGGUAGGCGGAAUGUGUGGUGUAGCGGUGAAAUGCUUAGAUAUCACGCAGAACUCCGAUUGCGAAGGCAGCUCACUAAACUACAACUGACAUUGAGGCACGAAAGUGUGGGUAUCAAACAGGAUUAGAUACCCUAGUAGUC
rnacentral:rRNA from 1 species